rnacentral:lncRNA from 1 species
UACAAAUGUUAGCUCAGGGCCAAUCUUCCUCACACAAACAUAAAAAAGAAUUAAAGAGAAGAACCCUGAUAAUAAAGUUCUGUGCCUCAUCGAUCUUUGUGUACAUUCUCAGUGCAUAUUACAGUGCCUGGGACACAAUAGACUUUUGACAAUGUGACCAAGAGGAAAGGCGGAGAGAGAGGAAUGCUGGAGGCAGCAAAAAGAUUGUGCAAAUGGAAGUCGAGUGACAGUGAAGAGAAUGAGCAGGAGGAGGAUUUACUGCAGGUGCAGUGGGCUCAGCAAUGGGUCAAGACCGGCAAGGCAGGACCUGGCAUUUGCUGUAUCAUCUCGCGUUGAGUGUGGAGAAAGAAACAAACACACCAAACGUGUGGCAUGACAGAAGUGUGCAAGUUCAUGCUCUCUUUGGUCUCUAGGUGAGUCAAAGGACAUUGCUUCUUUCUCCUGCCCUAGAACCUGUUGCACUUGGUUGUGAAAGACUAGCUAAUAAAGAGAUACCAUCAGCUUUUAGGAGAG